AGGGAAUGAAUUGAGACACAGCCCUGGAUGUAAUCACGUCUGUGCUGAUCACGUGCCUGUACACAAACCCGCAGCUCACUUGCAAAAGAUUAUCCGGUUAUUUAUUACACGUAAAGUAAACGUUUUUAAUGUUAUCAUGAAUCAAUGUUAUAGUUUUGUAUGUCACAUUAUUUUUUGAGAAGAGUCAUGACUGAACGCGGACCUUACACGCUGUUAUUUUUUUGUGUGCGUAUGGCCAAGGUACAGUGCGCUCUUUUGCACUAUGACCAGCCAUCAGUAAAUCGAAAUACAGUAAAAAAAAAUGAGCGCGAAACCCUGACACUUUACAGAAAGGCACGGAUAUCCCCGCCCGAAGAAAAAAAGAACACAGGACAAUGGUUGCAAGUUAAACAGCUGGUAAGUAAAAUGAGUAAUCCUGUGAUUUCUUAACAUAUUUAAUUUUUUAUUUGGUUAAUUAAUUUGAAACACUUAACAACACGCAGUUAACGGUAAUUUACCUCACACGUUAGGACUGUUGUGACUAAACAGAUAGGGAGAGAGCUUUGUGGUGAAAACUCUUUUUAAGACUCAACAAAACUUUCGGUGCAAGUUAUCAUAUUUAUUUCUUUUCCUUUUUAGAACAUUUCACCAUCUGCAAAGGUCACAACAACGACGGCAGAUGUAGAGACCACGCUUUUCCUUGCUUCCACUCCACGGCUGAUCAUGCUUGAGGAUCCAGAUCUACAAAACAAAAAAUGGAUGCUGCCGAUUGAAGGCUAAGUCCGAUUUCCUGCGAUUGACCUACCAUUUCUUCAGCAUUUGCUGUUCACUUUGGUUGCUACUACGUGCUCAACAUCGAGUACCAUGUGCAAGCAGCCACUACUUUGGAGUUUAUUCAGAGAUUUAUUGUGAGGAUCAGCCCCGACAACAGCAAGUGCUCCUCUAACUUCCAGGUGAGCAAAAGAAGUGGGAAGAUGGUGCAAAGGAAGAACUCUGGCCUGAACCACCUUUAUUAAGGACUUUAU